CCUACGGGAGGCAGCAGUAAGGAAUAUUGGUCAAUGGAGGCAACUCUGAACCAGCCAUGCCGCGUGCAGGAAGACUGCCCUAUGGGUUGUAAACUGCUUUUAUCCGGGAAUAAACCUGCUUACGUGUAAGUAGCUGAAUGUACCGGAAGAAUAAGGAUCGGCUAACUCCGUGCCAGCAGCCGCGGUAAUACGGAGGAUCCAAGCGUUAUCCGGAUUUAUGGGUUUAAAGGGUGCGUAGGCGGCCUGUUAAGUCAGGGGUGAAAGACGGUAGCUCAACUAUCGCAGUGCCCUUGAUACUGAUGGGCUUGAAUGGACUAGAGGUAGGCGGAAUGAGACAAGUAGCGGUGAAAUGCAUAGAUAUGUCUCAGAACACCGAUUGCGAAGGCAGCUUACUAUGGUCUUAUUGACGCUGAGGCACGAAAGCGUGGGGAUCAAACAGGAUUAGAUACCCUGGUAGUCCACGACCUAACGAUAGACACUCGCUGUUGGUCGAUACACAGUCAGCGGCGAGACGAAGACGUAA
rnacentral:rRNA from 1 species